rnacentral:rRNA from 1 species
AAUUCCCUAAAAACUAUCCUUCAAGUGAAGAGACUUGAAUUAAAAUAAAAGACAAGAAGACCCUGUAGAGCCUCAAUUUAUAUUAAACCCAAAAGUAAAAUACAUCAAAUCUUUAAUACCAUUUUAGUUGGGGCGACUAAGGACCAUCAAAACCCUCCUUCAUACAAAAGGCUUAUAAGCCUAAAUAAUGACCCAUUACAUGACCAAAAAACAAGGCUACCUCAGGGAUAACAGUCUAAUCUUCCUCAAGAGCCCAUAUUGACAGGAAGGAUUGGCACCUCGAU